rnacentral:rRNA from 4 species
UAGGGAAUCUUCGGCAAUGGACGAAAGUCUGACCGAGCAACGCCGCGUGAGUGAAGAAGGUUUUCGGAUCGUAAAACUCUGUUGUUAGAGAAGAACAAGGACGUUAGUAACUGAACGUCCCCUGACGGUAUCUAACCAGAAAGCCACGGCUAACUACGUGCCAGCAGCCGCGGUAAUACGUAGGUGGCAAGCGUUGUCCGGAUUUAUUGGGCGUAAAGCGAGCGCAGGCGGUUUCUUAAGUCUGAUGUGAAAGCCCCCGGCUCAACCGGGGAGGGUCAUUGGAAGCUGGGAGACUUGAGUGCAGAAGAGGAGAGUGGAAUUCCAUGUGUAGCGGUGAAAUGCGUAGAUAUAUGGAGGAACACCAGUGGCGAAGGCGGCUCUCUGGUCUGUAACUGACGCUGAGGCUCGAAAGCGUGGGGAGCAAACAGG